CUCAACCGUGGAAUGCCAUAGGAUACUGCCGAGCUUGAGGCGGGUAGAGGCGAGUGGAAUUCCCGGUGUAGCGGUGGAAUGCGUAGAUAUCGGGAAGAACACCAGCGGCGAAGGCGGCUCGCUGGGCCCGUUCUGACGCUCAGGCCCGAAAGCGUGGGGAGCAAACAGGAUUAGAUACCCUGGUAGUCCACGCCGUAAACGCUGGGCACUAGAUGCUGGGAAGUGUGACCUUUUCGGUGUCGUAGCUAACGCGUUAAGUGCCCCGCCUGGGGAGUACGGCCGCAAGGCUGAAACUCAAAGGAAUUGACGGGGGCCCGCACAAGCGGUGGAGCAUGUGGCUUAAUUCGAUGCAACGCGAAGAACCUUACCUGGGCUAAAUCCGCCUUGACCGUCCCUGAAAGGGGACUUCCCUUCGGGGCAG
rnacentral:rRNA from 1 species